AGCUCCAAUAGCGUAUAUUUAAGUUGUUGCGGUUAAAAAGCUCGUAGUUGGAUUUCGGGCGUGGAGAUUCGGUCCGCCGUUUCGGUGUGCACUGUCUUUCUGCGUCUUUCUGUCGGGGACGCGCUUCUGGCCUUAAUUGGCUGGGACGUGGAUUCGACGAGGUUACUUUGAAAAAAUUAGAGUGUUCAAAGCAAGCUAAAGCUCUGAAUACAUUAGCAUGGAAUAACGCGAGAGGACUCGGUCCUUAUUUUGUUGGUCUUCAAGGAUGGAGUAAUGAUUAAGAGGGACAGUUGGGGGCAUUCGUAUUUCAUUGCUAGAGGUGAAAUUCUUGGAUUUAUGAAAGACGAACUUCUGCGAAAGCAUUUGCCAAGGAUGUUUUCAUUGAUCAAGAACGAAAGUA
rnacentral:rRNA from 1 species